CACUCGCCCGAAGGCACGACAGUGCGGUGAGGUAAAACCCGCUCAGUUCAAGGAUCGAACUAGCGAUCGCCGCCUACUCGCCUAGUCUCCCAUCAUCACCAGGUGCCGCAGAAACUAAAUGCUAGGGGCAGGAAUUGAACUUAGGUCACUUGGAACAUAAGGUUGAUUGAUCAAGAUACAAGAAAACAAGCUAGGACGGCUUUAGAAACCCAUUCUAGAAAUAAACUAUUGUUUGAAUUUAUGUUUGAAUGUUUGAAACUUUGUAUUGUCCUUUGGAAAUUAAUAAAAUGAUUUAAUUCAUAUUGUCA